GAUGAACGCUGGCGGCGUGCCUAAUACAUGCAAGUCGAGCGAACAGACGAGGAGCUUGCUCCUCUGACGUUAGCGGCGGACGGGUGGGUAACACGUGGAUAACCUACCUAUAAGACUGGGAUAACUUCGGGAAACCGGAGCUAAUACCGGAUAACAUGUUGAACCGCAUGGUUCAACAGUGAAAGACGGUCUUGCUGUCACUUAUAGAUGGAUCCGCGCCGCAUUAGCUAGUUGGUAAGGUAACGGCUUACCAAGGCAACGAUGCGUAGCCGACCUGAGAGGGUGAUCGGCCACACUGGAACUGAGACACGGUCCAGACUCCUACGGGAGGCAGCAGUAGGGAAUCUUCCGCAAUGGGCGAAAGCCUGACGGAGCAACGCCGCGUGAGUGAAGAAGGUCUUCGGAUCGUAAAACUCUGUUAUGAGGGAAGAACAAAUGUGUAAGUAACUAUGCACGUCUUGACGGUACCUAAUCAGAAAGCCACGGCUAACUACGUG
rnacentral:rRNA from 1 species